UCCGGGGGUAGAGCACUGUUUCGGCUAGGGGGCCAUCCCGGCUUACCAACCCGAUGCAAACUGCGAAUACCGGAGAAUGUUAUCACGGGAGACACACGGCGGGUGCUAACGUCCGUCGUGAAGAGGGAAACAACCCAGACCGCCAGCUAAGGUCCCAAAGUCAUGGUUAAGUGGGAAACGAUGUGGGAAGGCCCAGACAGCCAGGAUGUUGGCUUAGAAGCAGCCAUCAUUUAAAGAAAGCGUAAUAGCUCACUGGUCGAGUCGGCCUGCGCGGAAGAUGUAACGGGGCUAAACCAUGCACCGAAGCUGCGGCAGCGAACGUAUCACCCAAGACAACUUUACGGAGUUGACGAUUGACGGAGCGAAGCGACGUCAAAGCGUUCAUUAAAGUCGAGUUGGCUUAGGGAUACGUUCGUUGGGUAGGGGAGCGUUCUGUAAGCCUGUGAAGGUGUGUCGUGAGGCAUGCUGGAGGUAUCAGAAGUGCGAAUGCUGACAUAAGUAACGAUAAAGCGGGUGAAAAGCCCGCUCGCCGGAAGACCAAGGGUUCCUGUCCAACGUUAAUCGGGGCAGGGUGAGUCGACCCCUAAGGCGAGGCCGAAAGGCGUAGUCGAUGGGAAACGGGUUAAUAUUCCCGUACUUGGUGUUACUGCGAAGGGGGGACGGAGAAGGCUAUGUUGGCCGGGCGACGGUUGUCCCGGUUUAAGCGUGUAGGUGUGUGUUCCAGGUAAAUCCGGUUCACUUUAACACUGAGGCGUGACGACGAGGCACUACGGUGCUGAAGCAACAAAUGCCCUGCUUCCAGGAAAAGCCUCUAAGCAUCAGGUAACACGAAAUCGUACCCCAAACCGACACAGGUGGUCAGGUAGAGAAUACCAAGGCGCUUGAGAGAACUCGGGUGAAGGAACUAGGCAAAAUGGUGCCGUAACUUCGGGAGAAGGCACGCUGACACGUAGGUGAAGUGAUUUACUCAUGGAGCUGAAGUCAGUCGAAGAUACCAGCUGGCUGCAACUGUUUAUUAAAAACACAGCACUGUGCAAACACGAAAGUGGACGUAUACGGUGUGACGCCUGCCCGGUGCCGGAAGGUUAAUUGAUGGGGUCAGCG
rnacentral:rRNA from 1 species